GUCUACUGGGUGCAGGCAUUUUCGGGGGCCCUCUAUCAAACAUUCUUUCCCAGAGCCCUCCCAUUUACGGAGAGAUCAUGAACCAGCCCUGAGACUCACAGCCUGUGAUUAGCAGAGUAAGAUUCAGUCUCAGAUCUGGGUGACACAAAGGACCAUGGAUUUCUGCAACCCUUGGUGCCUUUCUUGGGAACCCAUCUGUGUGACUUGGGAGAGUUGGGGAGGAAAAAUGGCAGGACAGUUCUUCAGCAACAGCUCUAUUAUGUCCAACCCUUUGUUGGGGCUGGUGAUCGGGGUGCUGGUGACCGUCUUGGUGCAGAGCUCCAGCACCUCAACGUCCAUCGUUGUCAGCAUGGUGUCCUCUUCAUAGACUUGGGUCUCACUGUGUUGCCCAGGCUGGUCUCAAACUUCUGGGCUCAAGUGAUCCUCCCAAAAUGCUGGGAUUACAGGCCUGAGCCACAGCCCCUGACCAGAACUAUUUUUCUUCCCAAGCUAGCAUCUUAGCCAAAAUUAACUAGAAUGUUUCUCGUCCAGUUAGAAAAAGUGCUCACUGUUCGGGCUGCCAUCCCCAUUAUCAUGGGGGCCAACAUUGGAACGUCAAUCACCAACACUAUUGUUGCGCUCAUGCAGGUGGGAGAUCGGAGUGAGUUCAGAAGAGCUUUUGCAGGAGCCACUGUCCAUGACUUCUUCAACUGGCUGUCCG
rnacentral:lncRNA from 1 species